GCGAUGCCGCGUGCGGGAAGAAGCCCUUCGGGGUGUAAACCGCUGUCRGGGGGGACGANGGGACCGUGGGUUAAUANCUCACGGUCUUGACGGUACCCCCAGAGGAAGGGACGGCUAACUACGUG
rnacentral:rRNA from 1 species